rnacentral:miRNA from 1 species
CACCUUGAUUUUGGACUUCUAGCCUCCAG